rnacentral:rRNA from 1 species
UACAGAGGUCUCAAGCGUUUGUUCGGAUUCAUUGGGCGUAAAGGGUGCGUAGGCGGCGCGGUAAGUCGGGUGUGAAAUCUCGGGGCUUAACUCCGAAACUGCAUUCGAUACUACCGUGCUUGAGGACUGGAGAGGAGACUGGAAUUUACGGUGUAGCGGUGAAAUGCGUAGAUAUCGUAAGGAAGACCAGUGGCGAAGGCGGGUCUCUGGACAGUUCCAUGACGC